GCUGUGAAGAUGCAGUGUACCCGCGGCAAGACGGAAAGACCCCGUGAACCUUUACUAUAGCUUGACACUGAACAUUGAGCCUUGAUGUGUAGGAUAGGUGGGAGGCUUUGAAGUGUGGACGCCAGUCUGCAUGGAGCCGACCUUGAAAUACCACCCUUUAAUGUUUGAUGUUCUAACGUGGACCCGUGAUCCGGGUUGCGGACAGUGUCUGGUGGGUAGUUUGACUGGGGCGGUCUCCUCCUAAAGAGUAACGGAGGAGCACGAAGGUUGGCUAAUCCUGGUCGGACAUCAGGAGGUUAGUGCAAUGGCAUAAGCCAGCUUGACUGCGAGCGUGACGGCGCGAGCAGGUGCGAAAGCAGGUCAUAGUGAUCCGGUGGUUCUGAAUGGAAGGGCCAUCGCUCAACGGAUAAAAGGUACUCCGGGGAUAACAGGCUGAUACCGCCCAAGAGUUCAUAUCGACGGCGGUGUUUGGCACCUCGAUGUCGGCUCAUCACAUCCUGGGGCUGAAGUAGGUCCCAAGGGUAUGGCUGUUCGCCAUUUAAAGUGGUACGCGAGCUGGGUUUAGAACGUCGUGAGACAGUUCGGUCCCUAUCUGCCGUGGGCGCUGGAGAACUGAGGGGGGCUGCUCCUAGUACGAGAGGACCGGAGUGGACGCAUCACUGGUGUUCGGGU
rnacentral:rRNA from 1 species